rnacentral:ribozyme from 1 species
AGCAAUACCUCCCUGGUACGGGGUUGGAUCCGAAGCCUCUAGAAGAUUAUCAUAGGCUCUCCACCCCCUACCCUUACUCAAUACGUCCACGUCGUAAAGAACGGUAACAUGUCUCUCAAAUAUCCAAGCUUGGGUAUACGGGGAAACCCAACCCCUAGAGCGGAUGGGUUGCAUGGCUAAAUUGAGAGGA